AACGAACGCUGGCGGCAUGCCUAACACAUGCAAGUCGAACGAGACCUUCGGGUCUAGUGGCGCACGGGUGCGUAACGCGUGGGAACCUACCCUUAGGUUCGGAAUAACUCACCGAAAGGGGUGCUAAUACCGGAUAAUGUCUUCGGACCAAAGAUUUAUCGCCUUUGGAUGGGCCCGCGUUGGAUUAGCUAGUUGGUAGGGUAAAAGCCUACCAAGGCGACGAUCCAUAGCUGGUCUGAGAGGAUGAUCAGCCACACUGGGACUGAGACACGGCCCAGACUCCGACGGGAGGCAGCAGUGGGGAAUAUUGGACAAUGGGCGAAAGCCUGAUCCCGCAAUGCCGCGUGAGUGAUGAAGGCCUUAGGGUUGUAAAGCUCUUUUACCCGGGAUGAUAAUGACAGUAACGGGAGAAUAAGCUCCGGCUAACUCCGUG
rnacentral:rRNA from 1 species